CCUGCCUGUAGAGACACUGCUGGUGUGGCUGUUGUGUCGCAUGGGCGUCAGUAAGUGGCAGAGAAGAGAGAGGCUAUGUCUAUGCUCAGUGUUCUGAUCUGUGAACUGAAGGAUUACUAGCCUAACACG
ensembl:snoRNA Gm24230 small nucleolar RNA SNORA17